AUUUGAUACCUUGCUCUUCUAACCAGAACUGUAGAAUAGUAGGUUGAAGUUGAGGUCAUCUGGUCUAACAUUAUCUAUUUCUUGCCAUCUGAUACAUAAAUUCCCUACUGCCUGCCUUAUAAGUGUUGUACUAAAGUGAGCAUAGAAAGUCAACACCAAGACAAAAGUAUGCCAAAUUGCAGGGUCUUUAUUGCUGGCAGCCACGGAGGACUCAGGUCUCUCCAACCUGUGGCCCCAAAAGGAGGAUGUCAAGACCUUUUAUGCCCAUAAACCACCUCCUGGGUAGGGGUGGGGGCGAGGGGCUUUGGACAUUCCAAGGGCCAGUGGACUUUGGACAUUCUGUAAACCACCUCCUAGGUGGGCAUGAGGGCAAGGGGUUUCGGACAUUCUGAGGGCCAGGGGACUUUGGACAUUCUGAUUGUUACUUAAGUGGUUAAAAGAAGUCAAGAUAAGCGUUAGUUUACACAUUGCCUGGGUAGGGUGCAAAUUACAGACCUUAGUUACUUAUUACAAGUCACAGGGGCCAAGAUGGCAUGGGUUUGGACUGCUUGCCUGUCACAUCAGGGUUACAGAGAGCAAUUUCAACAGAAAGCCGAGGUAUGGUGGAGGUAUGCAGUUUUAUGGGGCUUUUACCAUGUCACACAAGGAUAUUCAGAUUUUGUUUGCACGCCUUCAGAACAAGAUCACUCUCUGUCCAGCUGGAAAUAAAAGGCCAGCCCUCUCUCUGUGCCUUUUUGGGCCCAUCCUCUGCUGCAACCAAGGAGACCCUCAGCAGCUGCCGUACUAACUCUCUCUCAGAGAUGAUGCCCAAUGAUUACCUGGCUCAAGUCAUCCCAGACCACCCUGAGGUAGAAGGCCUGACUGGGGAGGUAGGGCUGGAGGAGUUGGAGAAAUCUAAGCAGUAUGACCAGAGUGACUUGAGUAACAGUGAAGAGAGUGGUUGGAAGAAAACCAAAGUCAACAAGAUCUGGAAUUUUGUGAGCCGCAGAAAAGGGGCCUCCAGCCAGAAAAAGCGACCUCAGUCCAUGCUUUUACUGGGAGACACCUCCAGGCUGUCAGAAGUGAAACCUAAAUUCAGGUUCAUGGAUCGAAUGAAGUCAUUCAGGAGGCUGAAGUCUUCUAUUGGGGCCUUCAAGCACACUCCCCCUAGGAGCAGCAAGAUCCAGGAGGUGCAGGAUGCCCCAGGUAUCUAUCAGAUGAGGAAGGCUAAGGAGGCCCUGAAGCCCUUCCGCCAUUCCUACGCCGGCCCCAUCAAGGGCUUGGAGCCCUUCCUCACAGACGUACAGGGGCUUGGGCAAGCCUCCAAGAGGGUGAACGAGAAAGUACUGGCCUUUGAUGAGUUUAGCAUCCAUGUGGAGGACGACUCCUGGCAGAAGGUUCCUGAAGAACUUCAGGGUGAAAGGCAAGGCAGAACCUACCUGAAAAGCAUAUUCCCCAGGGGUUGUGAAGGCCUGAGUACAUGGGCCAAUGAUGCUGAAAUCCUGAAAUUUGAGACUGCCAUCGAGGACUCCACCUUGGAAGCAGACUUGCAAGGUAGUUACGAAGGGAACCCUGAAGACCAGUGCCGAGAAAAGGCUGCGCCAUUGGGCGUCAUCAUCAAAUUCUUUAAUAGUGUGGCUGAGGUGGCCCGCAAGUGGCAGGCAUUCACCCGUGAAGAGCCACAGUUGUCCCGCCACCACCAUGAGGCCUGCUUCAGGAGUAGCAGCAAUAGAUUCAUCCGGGAUGGCACUGUCUCCCUGUCCUCCUUACCACUCAACCGGUCCUGCCAGACCACUGAGGCCUCACUGUGGAAUAGUACCUUGGGAAGGCUUUGGAAACACCACCACCACCUGAAGCCCUCACAGAGCUUAUGCACUUUUGAGAUGAGCAUUGAGAGUGAAGAAAUGCUGGACCAGGACCUAGUGAGUCCCUGUAUUGCUGCCACCUCUUCCCCAACCUUGACCAUCUUAGAGUUCCAGGACAACCCAGUGCAGCAGAACAGCCAUGGGCACGGCAGUCAUGGCCAAAUCUACUGCAGCACCUUUACCAGGGAGCACUCCUCCUCUGAGGAGCUUGAGGAAGACACUGAGACUGUGGUCAGCUUCCUCAAGGAAGAUGACAAUGACAGGGAGUCCCCUGAGCUGCGUGUCAAUGCAAGGAGGUUUGCCACUGAGAUUGUCAUGGAAAAGCUAGAGGAGAAACUCAACGAGAUAAAGGAGCAAGAGGCUAGUAGGGGGCCUGAAGUGUCCAGCCCAGCCAGGCAGCCCCAGGAGCCUCAAUUGGAAAUGGGGGCAGCAGAGGCAGAGGGCAAAGCCGGCGAGCCCUACACUGGAGUCUGUGAUGCUCAGGUAAGGCUGUUUUUCUUUUUCUUUUUCUUUUUCUUUUUUUUAAUCACUAUUUGUAACAUUCAAGACACUAGAAGCCAGCUAAAUUCCAUGCCCUGCCCCACCCAAACCACCUCCAGCCAGAAAUGUCUCAAAAGGAAUGUUCCCAGUAGUCAGUUGCAAGAGACUUGAUUGAUCCUAAAACCCUGGGUGACUUUUGCCUCUUCUUGGAGCUGAGUUCCUAUAUUCACACCUCAGUUCAGCC
rnacentral:lncRNA from 13 species